rnacentral:rRNA from 1 species
CACGUAGGGCGCGAGCGUUGUCCGGAUUUAUUGGGCGUAAAGAGCUCGUAGGCGGCUUGUUGCGUCGACCGUGAAAACCCGGGGCUCAACUUCGGGCUUGCGGUCGAUACGGGCGGGCUAGAGUUCGGUAGGGGAGACUGGAAUUCCUGGUGUAGCGGUGAAAUGCGCAGAUAUCAGGAGGAACACCGGUGGCGAAGGCGGGUCUCUGGGCCGAUACUGACGCUGAGGAGCGAAAGCGUGGGGAGCGAACAGG